UAGCUCAGUUGGUAGAACAUGGUGUUUACAAUGCCAGGGUUGUGGGUUUGAUUCCCAC
rnacentral:tRNA from 1 species